AUUGAACGCUGGCGGCAGGCCUAACACAUGCAAGUCGAACGAGUGGCGGACGGGUGAGUAAUGUCUGGGAAACUGCCCGAUGGAGGGGGAUAACUAAUGGAAACGGUAGCUAAUACCGCAUACCAUCGGAUUUGCCCAGAUGGGAUUAGCUAGUAGGUGGGGUAAUGGCUCACCUAGGCCACGAUCCCUAGCUGGUCUGAGAGGAUGACCAGCCACACUGCAAAUGUGACACGGUCCAGACUCCUACGAGAGGCAGCAGUGGGGAAUAUUGCACGAUUGGCGCAAGCCUGAUGCAGCAAUGCCGCGUGUAUGAAGAAGGCCUUCGGGUUGUAAAGUACUGUCAGCGAGGAGGCGUUACUCGCAGAAGAAGCACCGGCUAACUCCGUGCCAGCAGCCGCGGUAAUUC
rnacentral:rRNA from 1 species